rnacentral:rRNA from 1 species
CCUACGGGAGGCAGCAGUGAGGAAUAUUGGUCAAUGGCCGGAAGGCUGAACCAGCCAUGCCGCGUGAAGGUCAGUGCCCUAUGGGCGUUAAACUUCUUUUGUGCGGGAGCAAUAAUGGUCACGUGUGGCCAGACGAGAGUACCGUACGAAUAAGCAUCGGCUAACUACGUGCCAGCAGCCGCGGUAAUACGGGGGAUGCAAGCGUUAUCCGGAUUUAUUGGGGUUAAAGGGUGCGUAGGCUGUGAGGUAAGUCAGCGGUGAAAAGCCCCCGGUCAAAGGGGGGAAGUGCCAUUGAUACUGCCUUGCUGGAAUGCGGAUGCAGUGGGAGGAAUGUGUGGUGUAGCGGGGAAAUGCAUAGAUAUCACACAGAACACCGAUUGCGAAGGCAUCUCACGAAUCCGCGAUUGACGCUGAUGCACGAAAGCGUGGGUAUCAAACAGGAUUAGAUACCCCAGUAGUC